rnacentral:rRNA from 1 species
ACGCUCGACACCUACGGGAGGCAGCAGUGGGGAAUAUUGCACAAUGGGGGAAACCCUGAUGCAGCGACGCCGCGUGGAGGAAGAAGGUCUUCGGAUUGUAAACUCCUGUUGUUGGGAAAAGAGGAUGGUACCCAACAAGGAAGUGACGGCUAACUACGUGUCAGCAGCCGCGGUAAUCUGAGCGGGCUGGCAAGGC